AUUGAACGCUGGCGGCAGGCCUAACACAUGCAAGUCGAGCGGAUGAAGGGAGCUUGCUCCUGGAUUCAGCGGCGGACGGGUGAGUAAUGCCUAGGAAUCUGCCUGGUAGUGGGGGAUAACGUCCGGAAACGGGCGCUAAUACCGCAUACGUCCUGAGGGAGAAAGUGGGGGAUCUUCGGACCUCACGCUAUCAGAUGAGCCUAGGUCGGAUUAGCUAGUUGGUGGGGUAAAGGCCUACCAAGGCGACGAUCCGUAACUGGUCUGGGAGGAUGAUCAGUCACACUGGAACUGAGACACGGUCCAGACUCCUACGGGAGGCAGCAGUGGGGAAUAUUGGACAAUGGGCGAAAGCAUGAUCCAGCCAUGCCGAGUGUGUGAAGAAGGUCUUCGGAUUGUAAAGCACUUUAAGUUGGGGGGAAGGGCAGUAAGUUAAUACCUUGCUGUUUUGACGUUACCAACAGAAUAAGCACCGGCUAACUUCGUG
rnacentral:rRNA from 1 species